GACGAACGCUGGCGGCGUGCUUAACACAUGCAAGUCGAACGGGCCCGCCCCUGUUUUUGGGGGUGGGUUGAGUGGCGAACGGGUGAGUAUCACGUGAGUAACCUGCCCCCUGCUCCCGGAUAACUGCUUGAAAGGGCGGCUAAUACGGGGUGUGCCGGCUGGUCCGCAUGGGCCUGGUCGGGAUAGUUUCAUCUUCGGGUGUUUCGGUGGGGGAUGGGCUCGCGGCCUAUCAGCUUGUUGGUGGGGUGAUGGCCCACCAAGGCGGUGACGGGUAGCCGGCCUGAGAGGGUGGGCGGCCACACUGGGACUGAGACACGGCCCAGACUCCUGCGGGAGGCAGCAGUGGGGGGUAUUGCACAAUGGGCGGAAGCCUGAUGCAGCGACGUCGCGUGAGGGAUGGAGGCCUUCGGGUUGUGAACCUCUUUCUCCGGUGGUGAAGGCCCUGUCCGUUGCGGCGGGGUUGACGGUAGCCGGGUAUGAAGCGCCGGCUAACUACGUG
rnacentral:rRNA from 1 species